AAUCAACGCUGGCGGCGUGCCUAACACAUGCAAGUCGAACGCGAAAGCCCCGCAAGGGCGAGUAGAGUGGCAAACGGGUGAGUAACGCGUGGGUGACCUGCCUUCGAGUGGGGGAUAACGUCUCGAAAGGGACGCUAAUACCGCAUGACAUCUUGCCUUUGAAGAGGUGAUGAUCAAAGCCGGGUCGCAAGACCUGGCGCUUGAAGAGGGGCCCGCGUCCGAUUAGCUAGUUGGUGAGGUAACGGCCCACCAAGGCGACGAUCGGUAUCCGGCCUAAGAGGGCGGACGGACACACUGGGACUGAGACACGGCCCAGACUCCUACGGGAGGCAGCAGUGGGGAAUUGUUCGCAAUGGGCGCAAGCCUGACGACGCAACGCCGCGUGGAGGAUGAAGAUCUUCGGGUCGUAAACUCCUGUCGAGCGGGACGAAAGAUCCGCGACCGAAUACGUCGCGGAAGUGACGGUACCGCUAGAGGAAG
rnacentral:rRNA from 1 species